UACAGAGGUCCCAAGCGUUGUUCGGAUUCAUUGGGCGUAAAGGGUGCGUAGGCGGCGCGGUAAGUCGGGUGUGAAAUCUCGGAGCUUAACCCCGAAACUGCAUUCGAUACUGCCGUGCUUGAGGACUGGAGAGGAGACUGGAAUUUACGGUGUAGCGGUGAAAUGCGUAGAUAUCGUAAGGAAGACCAGUGGCGAAGGCGGGUCUCUGGACAGUUCCUGACGCUGAGGAGCGAAAGCGUGGGGAGCGAACAGG
rnacentral:rRNA from 1 species